GUGGCAUCCCGCCACGUGGGUGGAGGAGUGUGGCAUCCCGCCACGUGGUCCUCGGCCUGGACGGGCCCGGGGUACCGUGGAGGACGGGGUUUACCACCCCCACCCACCAGCCGGCGAUAGAGAGCAGCCCUUUCGGCACCCCAAUCAGGGUGAUUGGGGGACACCUGGCCGAAAGCACUGGAGCCAUUUUAAAAGGAGGCACAGCACAGCACAGCAGGGCUCGGGAGACCAGGAACAAGGACGUAGUAAGCGCUCUGGUCCACGAGCGGCUAGAGGCUCACGGAGACCCUAGAGACCGCGUCUGCAUUGUCGGAUUUAAGUUGCCUGCAAUAAAUGCCUGCCAUGGC
ensembl:lncRNA